UGAGUCGGCCAGGCGGUCGCGUCGAACGGUAGUUCCACUGUUGGUGGUUUCCCGUUCGCCGAGGAACGUCCGGGCUCCACAGAGCAGGGUGGUGGCUAACGGCCACCCGGGGUGACCCGCGGGACAGUGCCACAGAAAACAGACCGCCUGUGCAUGCAAGUGCACAGGUAAGGGUGAAACGGUGCGUGUAAGAGACCACCAGCAUCCUUGGUGACAAGGAUGGCUAGGUAAACCCCACCCGGAGCAAGACCAGACAGUGUGUGUUUGAGGGCUGCUCGCCUGAGCACACGGGUAGGUCGCUGGAGCUGCACAGCAAUGUGCAGCCUAGAUGGAUGGCCGCUCAAUGACAGAACCCGGCGUAUCGGCCGACUCAUCCG
rnacentral:RNase_P_RNA from 1 species